CGCGAAUAGCUCAUUACAACAGCUAAAAUCUACUUGAUCUUGACACAAUCCUACUUGGAUAACUGUGGUAAUUCUAGAGCUAAUACAUGCAUUAAAGCUCUGACCUUAGGGGAAGAGUGCAUUUAUUAGAACAAAACCAAGCGGCUUCGGCUGUUUUCGGUUGACUCAUAGUAACUGAGCUGAUCGCAUGGUCCUGCACCGGCGACGUGUCUUUCGAGUAUCUGCCGUAUCAACUUUCGAUGGUAGUGUAUCUGACUACCAUGGUGAUCACGCGUAACGGAGAAUAAGGGUUCGACUCCGGAGAGUUCGCCUGAGAAAUCGCGAACACGUCUAAGGAAGGCAGCAGGCGCGAAAAUUACCCACUCUCAGCACGAGGAGGUAGUGACGAAAAAUAACGAGACCGUUCUCUUAUGAGGCCGGUCAUCGGAAUGGGUACAAUUUAAACCCUUUAACGAGUAUCUAUGAGAGGGCAAGUCUGGUGCCAGCAGCCGCGGUAAUUCCAGCU
rnacentral:rRNA from 1 species